rnacentral:tRNA from 24 species
GGAGAGAUGGCCGAGUGGUUGAUGGCUCUGGUCUUGAAAACCGGUAUAGUGAAAAACUAUCGAGGGUUCGAAUCCCUCUCUCUCCU